rnacentral:rRNA from 1 species
AACGAACGCUGGCGGCAUGCCUAACACAUGCAAGUCGAACGAGACCUUCGGGUCUAGUGGCGCACGGGUGCGUAACGCGUGGGAACCUGCCCUUAGGUUCGGAAUAACUCCCAGAAAGGGGUGCUAAUACCGGAUAAUGUCUUCGGACCAAAGAUUUAUCGCCUUUGGAUGGGCCCGCGUUGGAUUAGCUAGUUGGUAGGGUAAAAGCCUACAAAGGCGACGAUCCAUAGCUGGUCUGAGAGGAUGAUCAGCCACACUGGGACUGAGACACGGCCCAGACUCCUACGGGAGGCAGCAGUGGGGGAUAUUGGACAGUGGGCGAAAGCCUGAUCCAGCAAGGCCGCGUGAGUGAUGAAGGCCUUAGGGUUGUAAAGCUCUUUUACCCGGGAUGAUAAUGACAGUACCGGGAGAAUAAGCUCCGGCUAACUCCGUG